AUUGAACGCUGGCGGCAGGCCUAACACAUGCAAGUCGAGCGGAUGAGAGGAGCUUGCUUCUCGAUUCAGCGGCGGACGGGUGAGUAAUGCCUAGGAAUCUGCCUGGUAGUGGGGGACAACGUUUCGAAAGGAACGCUAAUACCGCAUACGUCCUACGGGAGAACGCAGGGGACCUUCGGGCCUUGCGCUAUCAGGUGAGCCUAGGUCGGAUUAGCUAGUUGGUGAGGUAAUGGCUCACCAAGGCGACGAUCCGUAACUGGUCUGAGAGGAUGAUCAGUCACACUGGAACUGAGACACGGUCCAGACUCCUACGGGAGGCAGCAGUGGGGAAUAUUGGACAAUGGGCGAAAGCCUGAUCCAGCCAUGCCGCGUGUGUGAAGAAGGUCUUCGGAUUGUAAAGCGCUUUAAGUUGGGAGGAAGGGUUGUAGAUUACUCUGCAAUUUUGACGUUACCGACAGAAUAAGCACCGGCUAACUCUGUGCCAGCAGCCGCCGUAAAAC
rnacentral:rRNA from 1 species